UACGUGGUGGAGAUGGUGAUGAUCAGCCAAAUCAAGAGAACGAAAUUUUGAUGAUGAAGAUGAACUGAUUUUGAGAUAGAGCUUGAUGUAAUGGGAAUAAAACCCAAAAGGAGAACAUGGGAGCUGGACGUGAAUUAAAAGCACUCACACAUCAGCAGGAACAACAUCAUUCACAUACGGCUGGAGCACUCAUGCUAUUUUUCGUGAGGUGGGUUCUUGGCUGGCAGACUUCACGGAUGGCACAGGAGAAGAAAGGAAUCCUUUUUCGUUUGAGUGGAAAGAGGGCUACGACUUUUUCGUUUAGUCAAGCUACUUUUCGUUCAUUUGAGGAAGAGAUACGGAUUGAGAGAAUUGGAGAGAGGAGUACAGAAUUUUCAACUACACGAAAUGAAGGAAAAUAAGCAAGAAGAAGAGUCAACAUUUUCGGAAAGCAAGGGGCUGGAAUUGGAAUUAGCUGAAGGGGUAGGCAGCAGCAGAAUUGGUGGGAGUUGAGAGAGGGAGAGACGUGUGAAGAAAAGUCAUGAGCAAACAAAAAGAAAUAAAAAGCAAAAGCCGGAAAGAAUAGGCGUGAGAGUGGGUGAGCAUGGAAUUUUAAAGUAAUCCGGUGAGGUUACGUAUGUUACAUGAGUAGAGAGGGUAGGAAAGGAGAAAAAGUGAGUAGGGAAUGAGUGUGUUAGCUGAAGUUAGCUGAACGUGGGCCCUCUCAUUAAAGAAAAGAAGUGAGAUGUUGGUUGAUAGGGGAUGCAGCCGAGAUUGAAGAAGUGAUAAGUGGGGUCAGUUUGGUAGAGUGGAGAACGAUUGGUUUAACUUGAAGAAAGGAAAGGGCAUUCUUCUGGACUGGAUAGCUGGCAAGAGGGAACGGACGAGCAGCAAAGCAGGGGUAGGCAGCAGCAGAAUUUGGAGGGGGAGUCAUUCUUCUUUUUCGGCUUGGACUGGAAAGCUGCUGCAGCAAGAAAGAAAAUCACAAUGCAACCACAUUACACAUGCAAUGAACACAGCAACACACGGCUAUAAAAGGAAAGAAAGCUGAAAUGAAGAGGGGUCGAUUUUCGGGAGCAGUAGCUUAGUUUAAAGUUUUUAUGCUUUUCAUUCAGACUUUGCAGUUGUUAGCUCGGGCAGUUUAUUUCAGUUGUUUUCUUAUUUUGUUUUCUGUUUAGAAGGAGCAGCAGUUUUUAGUUUAGUUUUUACCUAUUUUCCUUCCAUUUUUAGAAGCUGGAAGCAGCUGGCUUUGCUUUCAUACGGAGGAGGAGUUUUAGUUUUUAAAACUUGUUUUUAUUUUCAUUUAGAAGCUAGAACCAAGCAGCAGAAUUUUAUUUGAUCUACUUUCUUUUUCGUUUUA